rnacentral:rRNA from 1 species
GAGCGCCGUAGCAAUACGGAGCGGCAGACGGGAGAGUAACACGUGGGAACGUGCCCUUUGGUCCGGAACAACCCAGGGAAACUUGGGCUAAUACCGGAUAAGUCCGUAAGGAGAAAGAUUUAUCGCCAAAGGAUCGGCCCGCGUCUGAUUAGCUAGUUGGUGAGGUAACGGCUCACCAAGGCGACGAUCAGUAGCUGGUCUGAGAGGAUGAUCAGCCUCACUGGGACUGAGACACGGCCCAGACUCCUACGGGAGGCAGCAGUGGGGAAUAUUGGACAAUGGGCGCAAGCCUGAUCCAGCCAUGCCGCGUGGAUGAUGAAGGCCCUAGGGUUGUAAAGUCCUUUCGGCGGGGAAGAUAAUGACGGUACCCGCAGAAGAAGCCCCGGCUAACUUCGUGCCAGCAGCCGCGGUAAUACGAAGGGGGCUAGCGUUGCUCGGAAUCACUGGGCGUAAAGCGCACGUAGGCGGCUUUCUAAGUCAGAGGUGAAAUCCUGGAGCUCAACUCCAGAACUGCCUUUGAUACUGGAGAGCUUGAGUCCGGGAGAGGUGAGUGGAACUGCGAGUGUAGAGGUGAAAUUCGUAGAUAUUCGCAAGAACACCAGUGGCGAAGGCGGCUCACUGGCCCGGUACUGACGCUGAGGUGCGAAAGCGUGGGGA